rnacentral:rRNA from 1 species
UACGGGAGGCAGCAGUGGGGAAUAUUGGACAAUGGAGGCAACUCUGAUCCAGCAAUUCUGUGUGUGUGAAGAAGGUUUUAGGACUGUAAAACACUUUUAGUAGGGAAGAAAGAAAUGACGGUACCUACAGAAGAAGCGACGGCUAAAUACGUGCCAGCAGCCGCGGUAAU